rnacentral:piRNA from 1 species
ACCUGGUGCUCUGAGCAAUCUUGCAAGCC